rnacentral:rRNA from 1 species
UACAGAGGUGGCAAGCGUUGUUCGGAAUUACUGGGCGUAAAGGGCGCGUAGGCGGUCUUGUCAGUCCCUUGUGAAAUCCCCCGGCUCAACUGGGGAACUGCACGGGAAACAGCAGGGCUUGAGUUCGGGAGAGGGAAGCGGAAUUCCGGGUGUAGCGGUGAAAUGCGUAGAUAUCCGGAGGAACACCGGUGGCGAAGGCGGCUUCCUGGACCGAUACUGACUCUGAGGCGCGAAGGCGUGGGGAGCAAACAGG